rnacentral:lncRNA from 13 species
AUGAGGCAACUUCACCCAACUCUGGAGCUGGAGGAAUGGAAGACAACCCCAUGCCCAUGGGUUCGAGGGGGAUGCAGCACAGCUGGUUUGGAGAUGUGGCCCCACCCCAAGUGGUCUGGAAGGAACCUGUUCAUGUCACAGGAGGAGUCUGAGACCCUGGCAGUACCUGGUGUCAGUGACAAUGUCGGUGAUGGCACCUCCUUCCAGGAACUCCAUGACCACCCAGAGCUUGUCCCCUACCAGGUGGCUGCUGUCCAUCACCAUGUUCUCAUGCUGAUAGUCCCACAAAAUCACCACCUGUGCAGGGACCAGGUCAGCAGUAAAGGGGGCAGGAGGGGGGGCAGAGAGGGGCAGGAGAGCUGCCCAGGCCUGGCUCAGACCCAGCCACUGCCACCCCCUGGGUCCCCUUGCAGUAGUUAUACAUUGAACUUGUGCUCAUGGGGCCACCGGGACUGCCCUCCCCUACUACUGCCACAGCCACAUGGGCCUCAGAGGCAGCCUAAAGCCCACACCUCCCUUCUGGGUGCACUCCCCUGGAACAACACGUAUCUCAGGUUAGACCAGGGCUGGUGCUGGGGGGAGGUGGAAAGAGCAUUUGAGCUCAGGGCUGAGACCCUGGACAAGCAGGUAUUGGGCAAAGAUGAGAGAAGAGGUAUACACGUGGGGGUGUAUGAGGAACCCAGGUGGGGUGCUUCUGGUGCAGCCAGGUGCUGUGAUACAUGGCAGGUCGAGAGGGGCCCCCUAUACCUGGCAAAGGGGUGCAGGCUUCCUCUUGUCAGGGUGCUGUGGGACAUUUCCAGGGUCUCUAAGGUGGAAUGGGGAUGGGGUGGGGCUGAAUGCAAGAAACUUCCCCUUGGUAGUUGUGUGGGCUGUGCUGAGGGCACCCAAUUGGAGGCUGGGGUGGGGCCUGGAGUGGGUGACAAUGGGCUGUGCAAACAUGGGGAGAAGCUGCUGGCACAGGCCAGUGGGUCACGGGGAACCCAGGGGGGAAGAUCUGAAGGACACUUUACCCUGGAGCCCAGUGGGCCUCAGUGGGUGUGA